rnacentral:rRNA from 1 species
AUGGUCAGUGUUUCAACAUUUGUAGCUAUGUUUCUCGCCGUGCUCGCCAUCGUUUCCUCUAGCCUCCUUGUUGCCCAUGCUGACACUGAUUUCAUCUCCUGCACAUGUAACAAGACCAACAACACCGCAUUGUGCAUAGCCGUGAUUACCGUCAAGCCACAAAGCUCCCAUGCCUCCACUGAGCAUGACCUCGCCAGUAUUGCGUUGAAUAUCGCCACUAACACCGCCAAACACAAUGUCGAGGUCAUCAGUGACCUAUCCAAGAACAACCAGAGCACACCGGAGGGGUUUGCAAUUGCCAUCUGCCUCAAGGCUUACACUGAAGCCACUAGUGCCCUGGAGAUUUUUGCCGACUUAUACUUCGAAAGAGGGUUGUACCCUUCUACAUUGAACGUUGUUUCAUUUGCAAUGGGUGCUAGUGACACAUGCAAGGAAGCGUUCAAAUGGAUCAAGAAGAAGUCCCCCGUGUCCUACAUAGAUCGUGAGAUGACGGAGCAUUGUAGUGUCGUCAGCAACCUCAUAAACCUACUUGUCCCCAAGUGA